UAGCUGAGGACGUGUGUGUGUGUGUGUGUGUGUGUGUGUGCGCGCGUGCACGCACAUGCA
rnacentral:miRNA from 1 species